AGUGAACGCUGGCGGUAGGCCUAACACAUGCAAGUCGAACGGCAGCACAGUAAGAGCUUGCUCUUACGGGUGGCGAGUGGCGGACGGGUGAGGAAUACAUCGGAAUCUACUUUUUCGUGGGGGAUAACGUAGGGAAACUUACGCUAAUACCGCAUACGACCUACGGGUGAAAGCAGGGGAUCUUCGGACCUUGCGCGAUUGAAUGAGCUGAUGUCGGAUUAGCUAGUUGGCGGGGUAAAGGCCCACCAAGGCGACGAUCCGUAGCUGGUCUGAGAGGAUGAUCAGCCACACUGGAACUGAGACACGGUCCAGACUCCUACGGGAGGCAGCAGUGGGGAAUAUUGGACAAUGGGCGCAAGCCUGAUCCAGCCAUACCGCGUGGGUGAAGAAGGCCUUCGGGUUGUAAAGCCCUUUUGUUGGGAAAGAAAAGCAGCAGGUUAAUACCCCGCUGUUCUGACGGUACCCAAAGAAUAAGCACCGGCUAACUUCGUGC
rnacentral:rRNA from 1 species